UGGGGAAUAUUGGACAAUGGGCGAAAGCCUGAUCCGGCCAUGCCGCGUGUGUGAAGAAGGUCUUCGGAUUGUAAAGCACUUUAAGUUGGGAGGAAGGGCAGUAAGCGAAUACCUUGCUGUUUUGACGUUACCGACAGAAUAAGCACCGGCUAACUCUGUGCCAGCAGCCGCGGUAAUACAGAGGGUGCGAGCGUUAAUCGGAUUUACUGGGCGUAAAGCGCGCGUAGGUGGUUCGUUAAGUUGAAUGUGAAAGCCCCGGGCUCAACCUGGGAACUGCAUCCAAAACUGGCGAGCUAGAGUAGGGCAGAGGGUGGUGGAAUUUCCUGUGUAGCGGUGAAAUGCGUAGAUAUAGGAAGGAACACCAGUGGCGAAGGCGACCACCUGGGCUCAUACUGACACUGAGGUGCGAAAGCGUGGGGAGCAAACAGG
rnacentral:rRNA from 1 species